AGUGAACGCUGGCGGUAGGCCUAACACAUGCAAGUCGAACGGCAGCACAGUAAGAGCUUGCUCUUACGGGUGGCGAGUGGCGGACGGGUGAGGAAUACAUCGGAAUCUACUUUUUCGUGGGGGAUAACGUAGGGAAACUUACGCUAAUACCGCAUACGACCUACGGGUGAAAGCAGGGGAUCUUCGGACCUUGCGCGAUUGAAUGAGCCGAUGUCGGAUUAGCUAGUUGGCGGGGUAAAGGCGCACCAAGGCGACGAUCCGUAGCUGGUCUGAGAGGAUGAUCAGGCACACUGGCACUGAGACACGGCCCAGACUCCUACGGGGGGCAGCAGUGGGGAAUAUUGGACAAUGGGCGAAAGCCUGAUCCAGCCAUACCGCGUGAGUGAAGAAGGCCUUAGGGUUGUAAAGCCCUGUUGUUCGGAAAGAAAUGAAGCAGUUUAAUACCCCGCUGUUCUGACGGUACCCAAAGAAUAAGCACCGGCUAACUUCGUG
rnacentral:rRNA from 1 species